rnacentral:rRNA from 1 species
ACGUAGGGGGCAAGCGUUGUCCGGAAUUAUUGGGCGUAAAGGGCGCGCAGGCGGCCAUGUAAGUCUCGUGUUUAAUCUCGGAGCUCAACUCCGGUCCGCACGAGAAACUGGAUGGCUUGAGUACAAAAGAGGAGAGCGGAAUUCCACGUGUAGCGGUGAAAUGCGUAGAGAUGUGGAGGAACACCAGUGGCGAAGGCGGCUCUCUGGUUUGUAACUGACGCUGAGGCGCGAAAGCGUGGGUAGCGAACAGGA